rnacentral:lncRNA from 1 species
UGUGCCCAACACCCACAUUUGCGCAGCACCAUUUCCUUGAGCUGUCCUGGUUACUGUGAGCCCAGAGAAGGUGCACAGGUCUGUCCUGGGUCUCCUCAGGUCCCUGUUGUUCCCAGCGCACCUUGACACCUGAAAAGGAGGGUCGACCAGCUCAGGAUCCCUGCGGGACAGGAAAAGGAGGGAAACCUUGACAUGGAAGAACUCCACGGUGAAAACGAAGGCAAGCUGGAAAAGGAGGGAAAGCCAGAAGAUGAAGUAGAGCCUGAAGAUGAAGAAAAGUCAGAUGAGGAAGAGAAGCCGGACAAGAAAGCAAAGCCAGCACGCCAGGGCAAGCUAGAGGAGGCGGCAAAGCCAGAUGAGCAGGGGCAAGAUGAGGGGAAGCCA